UACGUAGGGGGCAAGCGUUGUCCGGAAUCAUUGGGCGUAAAGCGCGUGUAGGCGGCUCGGUAAGUCUGCUGUGAAAGUCCAGGGCUCAACCCUGGGAUGCCGGUGGAUACUGUCGGGCUAGAGUACGGAAGAGGCGAGUGGAAUUCCCGGUGUAGCGGUGAAAUGCGCAGAUAUCGGGAGGAACACCAAUUGCGAAGGCAGCUCGCUGGGACGUCACUGACGCUGAGACGCGAAAGCGUGGGGAGCAAACAGG
rnacentral:rRNA from 1 species